rnacentral:rRNA from 1 species
GAUACCUACGGGGGGCAGCAGUGGGGAAUAUUGGGCAAUGGGCGAAAGCCUGAUGGAGCAACGCCGCGUGGGUGAAGAAGGUCUUCGGAUCGUAAAACCCUGUUGUUAGAGAAGAAAGUGCGUGAGAGUAACUGUUCACGUUUCGACGGUAUCUAACCAGAAAGCCACGGCUAACUACGUGCCAGCAGCCGCGGUAAUACGUAGGUGGCAAGCGUUAUCCGGAAUUACUGGGUGUAAAGGGUGUGUAGGCGGGGUU